UACGUAGGGUGCAAGCGUUAAUCGGAAUUACUGGGCGUAAAGCGUGCGCAGGCGGUUCUAUAAGACAGAUGUGAAAUCCCCGGGCUCAACCUGGGAACUGCAUUUGUGACUGUAGAGCUGGAGUACGGUAGAGGGGGAUGGAAUUCCGCGUGUAGCAGUGAAAUGCGCAGAUAUCGAGGAGGAACACCGGUGGCGAAGGCGGGUCUCUGGGCAGUGAACUGACGCUGGAGGAGCGAAAGCGUGGGGAGCAACAGGA
rnacentral:rRNA from 1 species